rnacentral:misc_RNA from 1 species
CGGGAAUGUGCAAUGCAUCGUAAUGACCAAAUCCGUGAUACAGAACCUUAAUAGGAUUGUCCUUGCCAUAUUCUUGCCCGUAUUCAGCAAUAGAAAUCAGGCCACUGGCGUCCUGGUCAUACAUGUAAACACUAAUUGGCAUCUGGAGAACAUGAGAAGCCAUCAAAAGUUCUGGCUCACCUCCCCACACAUGAGAAUUCCUUAUUUGGGCAACAUAUGUGUUAAAAUCACCUUCGAUGAACCAUUCGGUCUCUUCUCUCCUCUUUAUAAAUUCAUCUGCUACUCUGGCCCGCAAUUCAUCUGCUAAUUCCCUCUGUAAGUUCUCAUUAGGAGGGGGCUUCCCUG